UAGAAUCUGUAAACAAAUGCUAUCAACUGUUGAGGAAACAACCACAUUAUAAAUGCAUACCUUCAACAAUUUAUGAAGUUCUGGAUCAAAGCUAGCAUCUUGAUCCUGGCUAUGUUCUGAGUCUUCAAACAGACGAAGCAUCAACCGUUCACGGUAAUGAAAGCAAGAGUUAUCAGCAACAUGGAGGCCAGCCCACUCCCGUGACUUGUUAAACUCCUGCAGAACCUGUUCCACUGACAUGUAGGAAACUAACCAGCAACGGUGAUACCAUGCACGAUAAUUCAUCUUUGAUCUCUGUAACAGCAACAAGAGUCAACUUAG
rnacentral:misc_RNA from 1 species